UACAGAGACUGCGAGCGUUAUUCGGAUUCACUGGGCGUAAAGGGUGCGCAGGCGGCCGUGUGUGUCAGGUGUGAAAUCUCGAGGCUUAACCUCGAAAUUGCGCCUGAAACUACACGGCUAGAGUACUGGAGAGGGAAACGGAAUUCACGGUGUAGCAGUGAAAUGCGUAGAUAUCGUGAGGAACACCAGAGGCGAAGGCGGUUUCCUGGACAGUUACUGACGCUCAGGCACGAAAGCGUGGGGAGCAAAAGGGAUUAGAAACCCCCGUAGUCC
rnacentral:rRNA from 1 species